rnacentral:rRNA from 1 species
GGGACACGUGGUAUCCUGUCUGAAUAUGGGGGGACCAUCCUCCAAGGCUAAAUACUCCUGACUGACCGAUAGUGAACCAGUACCGUGAGGGAAAGGCGAAAAGAACCCCGGCGAGGGGAGUGAAAAAGAACCUGAAACCGUGUACGUACAAGCAGUGGGAGCCUCUUAAUGGGGUGACUGCGUACCUUUUGUAUAAUGGGUCAGCGACUUAUAUUCUGUAGCAAGGUUAACCGAAUAGGGGAGCCGAAGGGAAACCGAGUCUUAACUGGGCGUUAAGUUGCAGGGUAUAGACCCGAAACCCGGUGAUCUAGCCAUGGGCAGGUUGAAGGUUGGGUAACACUAACUGGAGGACCGAACCGACUAAUGUUGAAAAAUUAGCGGAUGACUUGUGGCUGGGGGUGAAAGGCCAAUCAAACCGGGAGAUAGCUGGUUCUCCCCGAAAGCUAUUUAGGUAGCGCCUCGUGAAUUCAUCUCCGGGGGUAGAGCACUGUUUCGGCAAGGGGGUCAUCCCGACUUACCAACCCGAUGCAAACUGCGAAUACCGGAGAAUGUUAUCACGGGAGACACACGGCGGGUGCUAACGUCCGU